rnacentral:rRNA from 1 species
GACGAACGCUGGCGGCGUGCCUAAUACAUGCAAGUCGAGCGAGCUGAACCAGCAGAUUCACUUCGGUGAUAACGCUGGGAACGCGAGCGGCGGAUGGGUGAGUAACACGUGGGUAACCUGCCCUAAAGUCUGGGAUACCACUUGGAAACAGGUGCUAAUACCGGAUAACAACAAUAGCUGCAUGGCUAUUGCUUAAAAGGCGGCGAAAGCUGUCGCUAAAGGAUGGACCCGCGGUGCAUUAGCUAGUUGGUAAGGUAACGGCUUACCAAGGCGACGAUGCAAAGCCGAGUUGAGAGACUGAUCGGCCACAUUGGGACUGAGACACGGCCCAAACUCCUACGGGAGGCAGCAGUAGGGAAUCUUCCACAAUGAGCGAAAGCCUGAUGGAGCAACGCCGCGUGAGUGAAGAAGGUGUUCGGAUCGUAAAGCUCUGUUGUUGGUGAAGAAGGAUAGAGGUAGUAACUGGCCCCUAUUUGACGGUAAUCAACCAGAAAGUCACGGCUAACUACGUGCCAGCCGCCGCGGUAA